rnacentral:rRNA from 1 species
GCGGAGGAAAAGAAACUAACAAGGAUUCCCCUAGUAACGGCGAGUGAAGCGGGAAGAGCUCAAAUUUGAAAUCUGGUAGCCUUCGGUUGCCCGAGUUGUAAUCUAGAGAAGUGUUUUCCGUGCCGGCCCAUGUACAAGUCCCUUGGAACAGGGCGUCAUAGAGGGUGAGAAUCCCGUCCUUGACAUGGACCCCCGGUGCUUUGUGAUACACUUUCAACGAGUCGAGUUGUUUGGGAAUGCAGCUCAAAAUGGGUGGUGAAUUCCAUCUAAAGCUAAAUAUUGGCGAGAGACCGAUAGCGAACAAGUACCGUGAGGGAAAGAUGAAAAGCACUUUGGAAAGAGAGUUAAACAGUACGUGAAAUUGUUGAAAGGGAAACGAUUGAAGUCAGUCAUGCUCUUGGGACUUACCUCCCUUGAGUGGGGUCAACAUCAGUUUUGAUCGAUGGAUAAAGGCACGGGGAAGGUAGCACUCUCGGGUGAACUUAUAGCCUCGCGUCAUAUACAUUGAUUGGGACUGAGGAACGCAGCAUGCAAUCAAG